rnacentral:rRNA from 1 species
UACGUAGGUGGCAAGCGUUGUCCGGAUUUACUGGGCGUAAAGGAUGCGUAGGCGGAUGUUUAAGUGAGAUGUGAAAUACCCGAGCUCAACUUGGGUGCUGCAUUUCAAACUGGAUAUCUAGAGUGCAGGAGAGGAAAGCGGAAUUCCUAGUGUAGCGGUGAAAUGCGUAGAGAUUAGGAAGAACACCAGUGGCGAAGGCGGCUUUCUGGCCCGAUACUGACGCUGAGGCACGAAAGCGUGGGGAGCAAACAGG